rnacentral:rRNA from 1 species
CCUACGGGAGACAGCAGUGAGGAAUAUUGGUCAAUGGACGAGAGUCUGAACCAGCCAAGCAGCGUGAAGGAUGACUGCCCUAUGGGGUGUAAACUUCUUUUAUAUGGGGAUAAAAUGUUCCACGUGUGGGAGUUGGUAUGUACGAUAGGAAUAAGGAUCGGCUAACUCCGUGCAAGCGGCGGCGGUAAUAGGGAGGAGCCGAGCGUUAUCCGGUUUUAUUGGGUUUAAGGGGAGCGUAGGUGGAUUGUUAAGUCAGUUGGGAAAGUUUGCGGCGUAAGCGGAGAAGUGCCGUUGAUACUGGCAGUCUUGAGUACAGAUGCGGUGGGAGGAAUGUGUGGUGUAGCGGUGAAAUGCUUAGAUAUCACACAGAACACCGAUUGCGAAGGCAGCUCAC